GAUGAAGACGUAGCGAAAUGCGAUAAGUAAUGUGAAUUGCAGAAUUGAGUGAAUCAUCGAAUCUUUGAACGCACAUUGCGCCCGCCAGCAUUCUGGCGGGCAUGCCUGUUCGAGCGUCAUUUCAACCCUCGAGCCCCCCCGGGGGCCUCGGUGUUGGGGGACGGCACACCAGCCGCCCCCGAAAUGCAGUGGCGACCCCGCCGCAGCCUCCCCUGCGUAGUAGCACACACCUCGCACCGGAGCGCGGAGGCGGUCACGCCGUAAAACGCCCAACUUUCUUAGAGUUGACCUCGGAUCAGGUAGGAAUACCCGCUGAACUUAAGCAUAUCAAUAAGCGGAGGA
rnacentral:misc_RNA from 1 species